rnacentral:rRNA from 1 species
CAGCCGCCGCGGUAAUACAGAGGAUGCAAGCGUUAUCCGGAAUGAUUGGGCGUAAAGCGUCUGUAGGUGGCUUUUCAAGUCCGCUGUCAAAUCCCAGGGCUCAACCCUGGACAGGCGGUGGAAACUACCAAGCUGGAGUACGUUAGGGGCAGAGGGAAUUUCCGGUGGAGCGGUGAAACGCGUUGAGAUCGGAAAGAACACCAACGGCGAAAGCACUCUGCUGGGCCGACACUGACACUGAGAGACGAAAGCUAGGGGAGCAAAUGGGAUUAGAUACCCCCGUAGUCCCUGUCUCUUAUAC